rnacentral:siRNA from 1 species
GGGAUUGGAGUCUUGAUCAUGG